GCCUACUGUUUAAUUCUGAGGGUUCGUUUUUACGAAUACUCAAAAUUAGCACUUUAAGCAACAGAAUAAACUGAACGCAUGUGAAGUUUGUUUGUUGGCGCUGUGCGUUAGCACUUUAAGCAACGGGAUUUAUCCGUUGGCGCUGUGCGUUAGCACUUUAAGCAACGGGAUUUAUCCGUUGGCGCUGUGCGUUAGCACUUUGAAAACUGCAUAUAUAUUUAGUGAUAUGACAUCUAAUUUGUAAUAUAUAAAGCUGAUAACUUUUUAAAAUUAUCGAAGUUGAUAGCUUCUAAUCUAUCAAACCUUUUUAACUGGUCAA
rnacentral:misc_RNA from 1 species